UACGGAGGACCCAAGCGUUAUUCGGAUUUAUUGGGUUUAAAGGGUGCGUAGGCGGAUUGGUAAGUCAGAGGUGAAAUCCCACAGCUUAACUGUGGAACUGCCUUUGAUACUGCCAACCUUGAGUACAGAUGAUGUGGGCGGAAUAUGACAUGUAGCGGUGAAAUGCUUAGAUAUGUCAUAGAACACCGAUUGCGAAGGCAGCUCACAAAACUGUAACUGACGCUGAGGCACGAAAGCAUGGGGAUCGAACAGG
rnacentral:rRNA from 1 species